rnacentral:rRNA from 1 species
UACGUAGGGUGCAAGCAUUAAUCGGAAUUACUGGGCGUAAAGCGUGCGCAGGAGGUUGUGCAAGACAGGUGUGAGAUCCCCGGGCUUAACCUGGGAACUGCACUUGUGACUGCACGGCUUGAGUGCGGCAGAGGGGGAUGGAAUUCCGCGUGUAGCAGUGAAAUGCGUAGAUAUGCGGAGGAACACCGAUGGCGAAGGCAGUCCCCUGGGCCUGCACUGACGCUCAUGCACGAAAGCGUGGGGAGCAAACAGG